rnacentral:rRNA from 1 species
AUGAAGAACUCCAUUCUAUCUCUCCAACAAAAAAGUUGGGCUGCACACCAGUUGUACACUCCCUUCGUUCGGAGAACCCUUGUUGAUUCUGAACUUCGUUUGCAAAGUAAGCGUCCUUUUAAUGGGCCAGCCCUUUUUAAUGCGCCGCUUGACCCUGUUUUGAAAAUGAGCUUUGCUCUUCUAGGCACUGGGCGCUCCCGUGCUUCGCGAGAAGGAAAAAGGACUAAUCUUUUGUUACAUCUGGCACGAGAUGAAAAAGAGAGAGCUUCGUCUAUCGAUGAACAACAGAUUGACGGAGCUCUUGGCAUUGCUUUGUUUUUCUCUCCUUACCUAUCAGUGAAUUCUGAUCCUUUUGUUUGA